rnacentral:rRNA from 1 species
CGGCAUGCCUUACACAUGCAAGUCGAACGGUAACAGGUCUUCGGAUGCUGACGAGUGGCGAACGGGUGAGUAAUACAUCGGAACGUGCCCAGUAAUGGGGGAUAGCUCGGCGAAAGCCGGAUUAAUACCGCAUACGCCCUGAGGGGGAAAGUGGGGGAUCGCAAGACCUCACGUUAUUGGAGCGGCCGAUGGCUGAUUAGCUAGUUGGUAGGGUAAAGGCCUACCAAGGCGACGAUCAGUAGCUGGUCUGAGAGGACGAUCAGCCACACUGGGACUGAGACACGGCCCAGACUCCUACGGGAGGCAGCAGUGGGGAAUUUUGGACAAUGGGGGAAACCCUGAUCCAGCAAUGCCGCGUGUGCGAAGAAGGCCUUCGGGUUGUAAAGCACUUUUGUCAGGGAAGAAAUCCUUUGGGCUAAUACCCUAGGGGGAUGACGGUACCUGAAGAAUAAGCACCGGCUAACUACGUGCCAGCAGCCGCGGUAAUACGUAGGGUGCAAGCGUUAAUCGGAAUUACUGGGCGUAAAGCGUGCGCAGGCGGUUGUGUAAGACAGGUGUGAAAUCCCCGGGCUUAACCUGGGAAUCGCAUUUGUGACUGCACGACUAGAGUGUGUCAGAGGGGGGUGGAAUUCCACGUGUAGCAGUGAAAUGCGUAGAUAUGUGGAGGAACACCAAUGGCGAAGGCAGCCCCCUGGGAUAACACUGACGCUCAUGCACGAAAGCGUGGGGAGCAAACAGGAUUAGAUACCCUGGUAGUCCACGCCCUAAACGAUGUCAACUAGUUGUUGGGGAUUUACUUCCUUGGUAACGUAGCUAACGCGUGAAGUUGACCGCCUGGGGAGUACGGCCGCAAGGUUAAAACUCAAAGGAAUUGACGGGGACCCGCACAAGCGGUGGAUGAUGUGGAUUAAUUCGAUGCAACGCGAAAAACCUUACCUACCCUUGACAUGGCAGGAACUUUCCAGAGAUGGAUUGGUGCUCGAAAGAGAACCUGCACACAGGUGCUGCAUGGCUGUCGUCAGCUCGUGUCGUGAGAUGUUGGGUUAAGUCCCGCAACGAGCGCAACCCUUGUCAUUAGUUGCUACGAAAGGGCACUCUAAUGAGACUGCCGGUGACAAACCGGAGGAAGGUGGGGAUGACGUCAAGUCCUCAUGGCCCUUAUGGGUAGGGCUUCACACGUCAUACAAUGGUCGGUACAGAGGGUUGCCAAGCCGCGAGGUGGAGCCAAUCCCAGAAAACCGAUCGUAGUCCGGAUCGCAGUCUGCAACUCGACUGCGUGAAGUCGGAAUCGCUAGUAAUCGCGGAUCAGAAUGCCGCGGUGAAUACGUUCCCGGGUCUUGUACACACCGCCCGUCACACCAUGGGAGUGGGUUCUACCAGAAGUGGCUAGUCUAACCGCAAGGAGGACGGUCACCACGGUAGGAUUCAUGACUGG